UUCAGAGGUCUCAAGCGUUGUUCGGAUUCAUUGGGCGUAAAGGGUGCGUAGGCGGCGUGGUAAGUCGGGUGUGAAAUCUCGGAGCUUAACUCCGAAACUGCAUUCGAUACUGCCGUGCUUGAGGACUGGAGAGGAGACUGGAAUUUACGGUGUAGCGGUGAAAUGCGUAGAUAUCGUAAGGAAGACCAGUGGCGAAGGCGGGUCUCUGGACAGUUCCUGACGCUGAGGCACGAAGGUCAGGGGAGCAAACGGG
rnacentral:rRNA from 1 species